rnacentral:rRNA from 1 species
UACGAAGGGGGCUAGCGUUGUUCGGAAUCACUGGGCGUAAAGGGCGCGUAGGCGGCUUGAUAAGUCGGGGGUGAAAGCCUGUGGCUCAACCACAGAAUUGCCCUCGAUACUGUCGAGCUUGAGACCGGAAGAGGUAAGUGGAACUGCGAGUGUAGAGGUGAAAUUCGUAGAUAUUCGCAAGAACACCAGUGGCGAAGGCGGCUUACUGGUCCGGUUCUGACGCUGAGGCGCGAAAGCGUGGGGAGCAAACAGG